CCCAGCCGCAGCUCGCUCUUCCCUCCCCCACCUAUAUUUUUGGAGAAUGCUGCCUAAAGGAAAAGUGAAAGUCACCGGCCUUUGUUUUUACUGCGGAGAAGAACAGCCCAGUUGGAGUUCACAGCCUGUGGUUCUCACCUUGGGAACAAAAGCAACAAGACUCGGUCUCCGAAUGGGACUGUGCUAAGUAAUGGGAUCCUAAACACAUCUGGAAAUAGCAGUGAACCUGUGGGUGCAGCCUGGACCAGACUAAGCAUCUGCCCCUCUGCCUGCUCUGUCCCACCCCCACUCGUUGGCCAGAGUGGCUCCCUAAAGAUUAUGCUGAAAGGAGGAGAUGCAUGUGCAGAACAGAGAAAUUUAGCAUAAAUAGGAAAGUCUGGGGCUUCCCUGCCUCAACCACUGUUUACCGUGUCUUGAGUUUUCCAGCUCUGCUGCUACACAGUUGCCUGUGCUCAGUACAAAAUUCAACUAUAUCCAGAAGAGUAAACGGGGAGAGAUGGAGGCCUGAGAAUUUUCCCUCGUGGGACCAGGGAUGCAGAGCACAUUUGCAAUGGAGCUGAAUAAUUCACAGUUUGGGAGCUAUAAGGGAAAAUAUGACCCCCUUCUGCUCCUGUAUUUCUAAACUCCCACGUGUCAGUCAUCUAGAACAACGCUUAUGCUGGAAACUGGAUGAAUCAGUUUGGCUCAGGCUAUCACUUGGAUAACUACAAUUAAAAACUAGAUAUAGAGGGCAAACAAACAUCUGUUGGGCGCCUUAUCUACAGAGGGCCCUCGACUUUGUCUUGACAGUUAGCACUCUGUGGUGAAUUAUAAUCUCCACUAAUUCACCCAAGUGGUAUUUCUCUCUUCAGACCUGGUAAAGAUCCCAUGUGUUUAUUGUUGCCAUGAUUUUGUGUCUUGUCCAGCCAAAGAAUAACUAGGCUUCCAUACUAUGCUUUGAACAAAAGGUUUGACUGGAAACUUACGGGAUAAUGCCAGGGUGUCAUGGAUUUGUUAGGCUGCUGCUGUGAUGAAUGAUUUCUGAACAACCUGGUAUGGACCCCUGUAAGCAGCUAAAUUACAAAAGAGAUGAAAAAGUUUCUGCACUUUGGACCUUCUGACAUCAUUAGUUUUAACUCUGCUGGCAUGCUUAUUCCUAUGACUUCAUUAAAGCCAAAUUCUGAUACAUCAACACCACUGUAGGAGCUUCUUGUGACUUCAGGAUCAUGCUGAAUUUGCUUGUCUGGCACUGAGUGCUUAGGCCUGGUCUACACUACAAAGUUAGGUCAAUGUAAGUCAUCUUGGAUCAGCCAAUUGCACAUGUGUCUACACUCAAAUUUGUCACUGGCUGAUGUAAGUGCCCCACUACAGUAAUACAGUAAAAACACUGCCUGAACUGCGGAGAGCCAUGGUUGACCUACUGAGGUCAAUGCAGAGUGAGCAUAGCCACUGUCUAACGUGUGUCGAUUCCAACAACCUCCACCAGCUGUCCCAAUAGACAGUGACCACUGUGGUUAUAUUUUUAAACUCCGCUGCCUACAAGUCACAGAGACUGGAAAUCACACACACACACCCCAACUUAAAUCCGCCAUGUGCUUUCAAAAUGCCUCUUCCUGAUUGCCCAGCUUGGCGAGCACACACAGCAGCUCACCUUUGUUACAUGCAAUUGCCUUCCCCAACUGACCAUGCCAGCUCCACGCACACAGACGUACUAGACACAGUCCUGCCUGCAGUAGACAGAAAGUAUUGGAUUUCCUGGGCACAGACCAGCUGUAGAAACAUGGCCAUCCCUGAGCAGCUUGCAUGGGGGGUGCAGGGAAAGGGUUAUGACAGGGAUCAGCAGCAAUGCUGUGUGAACGCGAAGGAACUUUGCCAGGGAUAUCACAAGGCCAGGGAGGCCAAUGAUGGAUCUGGUGCUGCACCACAGACCUACCACUUCUACAAGGAACUGCAUGCCAUCCGUGGUAGAGACCUCACCAACAACCCAUAGACCACUGUGGAUACCUCAUGGGAGCCCAAGACCCCAGCUGUGAAUGGCGAGGAGGAGGAUGGGAUAGGGGAGACAUAGCAGGGCACUCCAGCCAUGCUGUGAGCCAGGAGAUGUUCGAGGCUCCACCAAAGUCUAGGAAGUCCUACCAGGCAAGCACAGAUGAGCCUAAUGAAGGUGGAAGAGAACUUAGCAGCUUUCGGCAGGGUGGCCUUGAGGGAUACCCGCUCCUUGCCAGCAGAACACCUGACCCUGAAGAGGAGGAGAAAGAAGAGAAUGAGGGAGGACAUGAUUUGUGAGAUCCUGCAAUCCAGUGCUGCAUCAGAGCAUGAACAAAGGGCUUGGAGGGUCACCGUGACCAACAGCAUGGAGAAGGAAAAAGAGAAGAAGAAAGAGGCCCCAGGAGUUGCAGCAGGAAAUGUAGCAGAAUGUAGUAGGUCUUCUCCGUCAGCAAACUCAAGUGCUGCAGGCCCUGAUUGACCUACCGGUCCAGAAAUCCCAGACCUGCCCACCCUUUGCAGUCCUUGAAGAAUUCCAUGGUCGCUGCUCUCUGCACCUCCUAAUAUAUCACAUGGCAUCACAGGGCACAUCCUUACCCCUUCCACUCCAUGCCAGGGACAGUAAGGAAAACCACAGCUUUACGUACACUGGCCUGUGAGAACCACAGCAGGUAUACAUGUAGCCACAUUGGACUAUACUUGUUUCCUCAACUGGACAUGCAUGUUUAUAAUUUUAAACUUUCACCCCAUCACUUUAAAAACUUGUGUAAUAGGGCCUGUGUGUUUUCUGGUUUUUGCACACUGAUUUUCUGCAGCAUUGUUUCUUUUUUCCCACUAAACCUGUGUUUUUUGGAAAAUCAAAUGACCUCUAUUAGUUCACAGCAAACAUUGCAGAAUGCAGAGUGGUACACAAAGCAGCCAGUAUUUGUAAAUGCUCGCCAAGCAUCAUGGAAUUCAUAGCUACAGAAGAACACCCAGUCGUAUUCAUAAAGGUAUUGUAAGCACUUCAAACAACUUGUAAAGCUCUAGGCCCACAGACCACUAAUGUGGCUGACAGUUCAAGUGCUGUUUCAAAGCUUCCUUCAAUUGCAUAUUUCCAUAGUGGGGCCUUGUAUUGAUGAGUCUGGCUGUUCAAAGUCAGUCUGCAGCUGCUUCACAUCUGCCCUCCACCCUGGUGUAAGCUUUUCCCCCAUGGCCUCAUAGAUAUUAUGCAGGACACAAGAGGCAGCUAUAAUCAUUGGAAUAUUUUUCUCACUGAGCUCCAACUAGUGAGUAGACACUGCCAGCAUCCCUUCAAUCUACCAAAAGCACAUUCAACGGUCAUUCUGCACCUGCUGAGCUGGUAAUUGAAUCUUUCCUUGGUGCUGUCCAGAUAGCCAGUGUAUAGAUUCAAAAGGAUUAGGCUGGAUUCUCUAGCAUCAUUCUUGGCAUUUCAAUAUCACCAGAGGUAAUUCACUGGCCAGAAAAGAAUGUCCCUAGUUGCAGAUUUCUGAACAGCCAUGUGUUCUUAAAGAUAUGAGCAUCAUGCAUCUUCUCUGACCAACCAACACUGAUAGUGAAGCAGCCCCAGUAAUUCACCUACACGUGCAUAACCACAGAAAAGUUUCCUUUUUUGUUGUACUCUGUGGCAAGAUAGACAGCAUGCAGCUCUCUAUUCUGGCAACAGCCUAUCACCCCACCACUGUUUAGGAAUGCCCAUUGCUGCAAAUCCAUCCACUAUGUCCUACACAUUGCCAAGAAUCACAGGCCUGCAUAGCAAGAAAUAAUUAAUGGUUCUACACACUUGACAACAACUC